AAGAAGAGCCUCUGCCUCGAGCUUCUCCAGCCAUUCAUUCCGCCAUGCCCUUUGUGCCCCCGGGAGACUGAAAUCCUCUGCAACAGGAGCAAAACACAAUUUUCCCUCACACUGUUUCAGCGAGGGAGGGAUUUCGGUCUCAGCAACACAGUGCGAAAGUAACUGACACACAGCCUUAUGGCUUUUCCCAAGCAAAAGCGAAUGAAACGUCAACACAAGUCAGAGAGCUGCGCUGGUCUACCUCUGUGAUGUCUAAGAUACCUGUGAUGAGCUGCACUGGUCCACCUCCGUGAUGUCUAAGAUGUCCAUGUUGAGCUGUGCUGGUCCACCUCUGUGACGUCUAAGAUGUCCAUGUUGAGCUGCGCUGGUCCACCUCUGUGAUGUCUAAGAUGUCCAUGUUGAGCUGCGCUGGUCCACCUCUGUGAUGUCUAAGAUGCCCAUGAUGAGCUGCGCUGGUCCACCUCUGUGAUGUGUAAGAUGCCCAGGAUGGACUGACUCACUUACCUGGCAAUCUGCCUGUGAUGGGGUUGUUUAGGUAGAGGUGGGGCCUCCUGAGCUCCUCUUCUCCCAACUUAAUAACGAUGACCUGAGAAGGUGACAGAAAAACAGAAGAGAAAACUGGAACCUGGAAGGCCUGUGGACUGCACACCACCCUGCCAUUUCCGGGCUGCAGUUUUGGGAGCUUAUGUCCACUUCAUUUGGAUAAGUAGAAGGCUGUGUACUCAGAGACCAGCAUAAAAGGGCAUGGAGAUUAAAGCCACAAGAACGCUCCCCACACCUCCAGGUGGCAGCAGGAAGGCAGGGCAGUUAGGGAACACCCACAGGGUUAGUAGCAGCAGCAGCAGCAUUUUCUGUGGCUGUGGCUGCUGUUCCUCCACUGAGGCAAUGCGGAGACAGUGACUGACUCUGGCCCUUGGGCCAAAUGGUGCUCAGAGGCCUUUCAGUAUCUCUUGGGUGCUGUGGUUAUUAAUAAUGACCGUCAACCUCACGGCCUUGGGAGCUGUAGGCAACACACAUCUGGGUGUGCAUGUGAGGAGGGCAUUCCCAGAGAGCCUUAACUGAGGAGGGAGGAUAUGGCCCUGGAAAGGGGGCCCUCACCUCUCUGUGCUUCACAACUGUAGACACAAUGCAAUCAUCUGCUUCACAUGCCGUCCCCAGCAGGACUCUGUCUCUCUCUCUCUCUCUCUCUCUCUCUCUCUCUCUCUCUCUCUCUCUCUCUCUCUCUCUCUGUCUCUCUCUCUGUCUCUGUGUGUGUGUGUGUGUGUGUGCACACGCGCGCGCGCGUGCGUGUUACAUGUUCACAUGUUCAUGAUGUUUUGGCACCUGCACUUGUGUGUGCAUGUGUCUUUGGAUGCCAGAGCUCAUUACCAGGAGGCUUCCUUAACCACCGCACCUCACUCUUUUGGAGGCAGGUUCUCUCAGCAAACAGGGAGCUCACCAACGAGGCAUGUGGGCUGGCAGGGGUGCUCCAGGGACCCUUCUGUCUCUGCCUCCCCAGUGCUGGGACGAUAGGUAUUUGUCACCAUGCAUAGCUUCUUAUGUGUGUGCUUGAUCCGAACUCAGCUCUUCUUGUUAGCACCGCUAAGUGACUGAUUGAGCCGUUCCGAAGCCCCCAUUGUGGACCCUUCCUAAGCCUGUUUGGAAGACUUAACUGUCUUGGAAGACUUUUAGCUUUUGUUGCCUCUUCUCCCUCCCCCCCCCCGACUUCUUUGAAGCCUCACCCCCUGAAAGUCACUGGAGAACCGAAGGCGUUUCUCAUCACUCCGCUGGCAUUGAUAACCGGAGCGCCCUUCAGGUCCUUGUAGCAGAAUCCUACGUCUAUGCGUGACCUUGGGUAUUUGUGGUGUUUGGGCCUUUUGGAAGUUGCCCCACAUAUAAGGUCAGUUUUCUUGGUAGCUGGGGUGAGAUGACCAACGUGCCUUGCCAAGCCAUCUAAAUGGUCUCCAAAUGGCAGCUAACUUUAGACAGAAAGGAUUUGGUCCUAAAUUUGAAGUUGGGACUGAGAAGAGCAAGUCUCUGUAUCCCACGGCAGGAACCACCCAGAUUCUCCACGAUACCCUACAUCAAAGCCUUAUAAUAAAGUGCCCUGUGGGGCUUGGUGCC